rnacentral:rRNA from 1 species
UACGUAGGGGGCAAGCGUUAUCCGGAUUUACUGGGUGUAAAGGGAGCGUAGACGGCUGGCCAAGUCUGAAGUGAAAGCCCGGGGCCCAACCCCGGAACUGCUCUGGAAACUGUGAAGCUGGAGUGCAGGAGAGGUAAGCGGAAUUCCUGGUGUAGCGGUGAAAUGCGUAGAUAUCAGGAGGAACACCGGUGGCGAAGGCGGCCUGCUGGACUGCAACUGACGUUGAGGCCCGAAAGCGUGGGGAGCAAACAGG